rnacentral:rRNA from 1 species
AGCGAACGCUGGCGGCAGGCUUAACACAUGCAAGUCGAACGCAUCCUUCGGGGUGAGUGGCAGACGGGUGAGUAACACGUGGGAACGUACCUCUUUGUUCGGAAUAACUCAUGGAAACGUGAGCUAAUACCGGAUACGCCCUUUGGGGGAAAGAUUUAUCGCAGAGAGAGCGGCCCGCGUCUGCUUAGCUAGUUGGUGUGGUAAUGGCUCACCAAGGCGACGAUCAGUAGCUGGUCUGAGAGGAUGAUCAGCCACACUGGGACUGAGACACGGCCCAGACUCCUACGGGAGGCAGCAGUGGGGAAUAUUGGACAAUGGGCGCAAGCCUGAUCCAGCCAUGCCGCGUGAGUGAUGAAGGCCUUAGGGUUGUAAAGCUCUUUUGUCCGGGAAGAUAAUGACUGUACCGGAAGAAUAAGCCCCGGCUAACUUCGUGCCAGCAGCCGCGGUAAGAC